rnacentral:rRNA from 1 species
AGAGUUUGAUCCUGGCUCAGGAUGAACGCUAGCGGCAGGCCUAACACAUGCAAGUCGAGGGGUAACAGAGGGUAGCAAUACCCUGCUGACGACCGGCGCACGGGUGCGUAACGCGUAUGCAACCUGCCUCCAACAGGGGGAUAACGGAGGGAAACUUCCACUAAUACCCCGUAUGGUCGGGGAGCCGCAUGACUUCCGACGAAAGUUUCGGCGGUUGGAGAUGGGCAUGCGUGACAUUAGCGUAGUUGGCGGGGCAACGGCCCACCAAGGCUGCGAUGUCUAGGGGAGCUGAGAGGCUAAUCCCCCACACUGGUACUGAGACACGGACCAGACUCCUACGGGAGGCAGCAGUGAGGAAUAUUGGUCAAUGGUCGGAAGACUGAACCAGCCAUGCCGCGUGAGGGAAAGAAGGCCCUAUGGGUUGUAAACCUCUUUUGCACGGGAGUAAUAAGGAUCUUGCGAGGUCCGAUGAGAGUACCGUGCGAAUAAGCAUCGGCUAACUCCGUGCCAGCCGCUGC